rnacentral:lncRNA from 1 species
UUUGUUUAGUAGGUGUGAAAAGAGUUUUUCAUGAGACAUAUUAGAAGAAUGAAAUAGGUAAAGGAACCCUAUAUUCAUAGUGAGACAAAGAGGUCACAAUUAUACCUCUGAGUGAGAUCAACUAAGCUCUCCAAGUUCAAAAGAAACCUCUGAGUGAAGCCAUGUGAUACUCUCCAAGUAUAGACCUGAAAAGAUCUCACACUAAUUUUUGUCUACAAUGGUGAAUAGAGCCAUUUGCCAACACUACAAGCAUCAUGCUU